UAAACGGACCAUCGAGUAUCCAUUGGAGGGCAAGUCUGGUGCCAGCAGCUGCGGUAAUACCAGCUCCAAUAGCGUAUAUUAAAGUUGUUGCAGUUAAAAAGCUCGUAGUUGGACUUGUGUGCGCUGUCCGCGGGUGGCCUGCGCCCAAAAGGGCGUUUCGGUUCGGCCCCGGUGGCGCCUUGAAAUCUGCAGCUGGGGGGACGUUGGCCUUAACUGGUCGGCGACCGCACGCCGGCUGCUCGGUUACUGUGAGAAAAUUAGAGUGUUCAAGGCAGGCAUUGGGUGCAAUUGAAUACAUUAGCAUGGAAUAAUAAAAUAUGGCUCCUGCCGUAUUUUGUUGGUUUUGACUGGUGGGAGUAAUGAUUGAUAGGGACGGUUGGGGGUGCUAGUAUUGAGCGGCCAGAGGUGAAAUUCAUGGAUUCGCUCAAGACUAACUUAUGCGAAAGCAUUCACCAAGGACGUCCUCUUUAAUCAAGAACGAAAGUUGGGGGAUCGAAGACGAUCAGAUACCGUCGUAGUCUCAACCAUAAACUAUGUCGACUUGGGAUCGGCGGUAGUUUUUUCAUUAAGACACUGUCGGGACCACGGGAGAAAUCAAAGUGUCUGGACUCUGGGGGAAGUAUGGUCGCAAGGCUGAAACUUGAAGGAAUUGACGGAAGGGCACCACCAGGAGUGGAGCCUGCGGCUUAAUUUGACCCAACACGGGGAAACUUACCAGGUCCAGAGAUGUAGAGGAUUGACAGAUUGAAGCUCUUUCUUGAUCACUUCGGUGGUGGUGCAUGGCCGUUCUUAGUUGGUGGAGUGAUUUGUCUGGUUAAUUCCGUUAACGAACGAGACCUCAGCCUGCUAGUGUAGUCGGCUGGAUUGCCUUUGGCGAUCCGUGAUUUCGACUUCUUAGAGGGACAAUCGACGCGCAGUCGAUGGAAGUUUGAGGCAAUAACAGGUCUGUGAUGCCCUUAGAUGUUCUGGGCCGCACGCGCGCUACACUGCUGGGCUCAGCGAGUUUUACUUGGCCGAGAGGCCCGGUUAAUCUUGUGAAAUCCCAGCGUUCUUGGGCUCGCCUCCUGCAACUGGAGGCGCCAACGAGGAAUUCCUAGUAGACGCAGGUCAUCAACCUGCAUCGAUUACGUCCCUGCCCUUUGUACACACCGCCCGUCGUUCCAUAAGAGUGAGGCAUCCGGUGAAUUCUCGGGAGAGCCUGGGCGUGGCCAGCAAUGGUCUGCUCGGGUUUGAACUUGCAUAAACUUGGUGCCUAUGAUUAGGG
rnacentral:rRNA from 1 species